rnacentral:rRNA from 1 species
CAAUAGCGUAUAUUAAAGUUGUUGCAGUUAAAAAGCUCGUAGUUGGAUUUCGGGUGGGAAUGGCCGGUCCGCCGUUUCGGUGUGCACUUGCUACGCCCACCUUGCUGCCGGGGACGUGCUCUUGAGUUCACGCUCGGGACACGGAGUCGGCGAGGUUACUUUGAGUAAAUUAGAGUGUUCAAAGCAGGCCUACGCUCUGAAUACAUUAGCAUGGAAUAACACGAUAGGACUCUGGCCUAUCUUGUUGGUCUGUAGGACCGGAGUAAUGAUUAAGAGGGACAGUUGGGGGCAUUCGUAUUUCAUUGUCAGAGGUGAAAUUCUUGGAUUUAUGAAAGACGAACUACUGCGAAAGCAUUUGCCAAGGAUGUUUUCAUUAA